rnacentral:rRNA from 1 species
AUUGAACGCUGGCGGCAGGCCUAACACAUGCAAGUCGAGCGGAUGAAGCGAGCUUGCUCCUGGAUUCAGCGGCGGACGGGUGAGUAAUGCCUAGGAAUCUGCCUGGUAGUGGGGGAUAACGUCCGGAAACGGGCGCUAAUACCGCAUCCGUCCUGAGGUAGAAAUUGGGGGAUCUUCGGACCUCACGCUAUCAGAUUAGCCUAGGUUGGAUUAGCUAGUUGGUGGGGUAAAGGCCUACCAAGGCGACGAUCCGAAACUGGUCUGAGAGGAUGAUCAGUCACACUGGAACUGAGACACGGUCCAGACUCCUACGGGGGGACGCAGUGGGGACUAUUGGACGAUGGGCGAAAGCCUGAUACAGCCAUGCCGCGUGUAGGAAGAAGGUCUUCGGAUUGGAGAGCACUUUAGGUUGGGAGGAAGGGCAGUAAGUUAAUACCUUACUAUUUUGACGGUACCAGCAGAAUAAGCACCGGCUAACUUCGUG